AACGAUCGCUGGCGGCAGGCUUAACACAUGCAAGUCGAACGCAUCGCAAGAUGAGUGGCAGACGGGUGAGUAACGCGUGGGAAUCUACCUAGUUCUACGGAACAACAGUUGGAAACGACUGCUAAUACCGCAUACGCACUACGGGGGAAAGAUUUAUCGGAAUUAGAUGAGCCCGCAUAAGAUUAGCUAGUUGGUGGGGUAAUGGCCUACCAAGGCGACGAUCUUUAGCUGGUCUGAGAGGAUGAUCAGCCACACUGGGACUGAGACACGGCCCAGACUCCUACGGGAGGUAGCAGUGGGGAAUAUUGGACAAUGGGCGCAAGCCUGAUCCAGCCAUGCCGCGUGAGUGAUGAAGGCCUUAGGGUUGUAAAGCUCUUUCACCGAUGAAGAUAAUGACGGUAGUCGGAGAAGAAGCCCCGGCUAACUUCGUGCCAGCCGCCGCCGUAAGAC
rnacentral:rRNA from 1 species